UCGAGGGGUAUUGGUUUUCGGACCAAGAGACCGGCGCACGGGUGCGUAACGCGUAUGCAAUCUACCUUUUACAGAGGGAUAGCCCAGAGAAAUUUGGAUUAAUACCUCAUAGUAUUACGACUCGGCAUCGAGAUGUAAUUAAAGUCACAACGGUAAAAGAUGAGUAUGCGUCCCAUUAGCUUGUUGGUAAGGUAACGGCUUACCAAGGCAACGAUGGGUAGGGGUCCUGAGAGGGAGAUCCCCCACACUGGUACUGAGACACGGACCAGACUCCUACGGGAGGCAGCAGUGAGGAAUAUUGGUCAAUGGGCGCAAGCCUGAACCAGCCAUGCCGCGUGCAGGAUGAAGCAUCUAUGGUGUGUAAACUGCUUUUGUACAGGAAGAAACACUCGGUCGUGACCGAGCUUGACGGUACUGUAAGAAUAAGGACCGGCUAACUCCGUGCCAGCAGCCGCGGUAAUACGGAGGGUCCAAGCGUUAUCCGGAAUCAUUGGGUUUAAAGGGUCCGUAGGCGGUUUAGUAAGUCAGUGGUGAAAGCCCAUCGCUCAACGGUGGAACGGCCAUUGAUACUGCUAAACUUGAAUUGUUGGGAAGUAACUAGAAUAUGUAGUGUAGCGGUGAAAUGCUUAGAUAUUACAUGGAAUACCAAUUGCAAAGGCAGGUUACUAUCAAC
rnacentral:rRNA from 1 species